UAACAUCUGCUAAACACGUGUAAGUGACAAAUACAAUUUGAUUUGAUUUGAGGGCAUCAUACCCACAGUGCUCAGACUAGUGCUGCAACAACUGGUUCAAGAGAGGCAAAUUACUCUUGCCCAGAUUAACUAUGAGGUUGAGAACUUGUUUUAUGGCAAACAAGAUAUGUCUUCUAAACCUGUGCCACUAUUCGAGAGAGUCCUAAGAAAGAAUGGCCAUCUAUCCGGAAGUGCAUCAGAAAAAUUUACACUUUUCCGUUUACUCCCCCAAAUGAUUGGUAGUCAAAUACAAAAUGCCAGUGCUUGGGAUCUCUACCUCCUGCUUCAAGAGAUAUCUGACAUCAUCUUGGCCCAGUUUUUUUAAGAAGGUCCUAGAUUCCAUAUCUGUCAGAAAAGAUCACUGAUUUUCAAGCUCUCUUCCAGGAGCUGUUUCCAGGGAAGACAAUUCCAAAGAUGCACUACCUCAUCCAUUACCGUAGCCUGCUACUUGCCUAUGGACCUUUGAUCCACCAUGCGAUUUGAAACGAAACACCAAUAUUUCAAGAGGCUCUCAGCAGUUGUGAGAAACAACAUAACGAAGACCUUGGCAAAAAGACAUCAGCUCAGAAAAGGCUGGAAGCAAACCAACAACUGCCUUGACAACACAACAACACACUGUGAGGACAAGAGACGUUCCACUGCAUGCACUUUCAAACUCUGCCCCGUGCAGUAUUAAGUGCCAGAUUCAGAGACUUUUUUUGUCACCAAGACAAAGUCAAUUGCAGUGAACAACGCACAAUACAAUGUAGGAGACUAUCUGGUCAUCGACACUGCUCAUUCAGAAGAGAUCCCUGUGUUCAUGGAAGUGUGUGGAAUUUACAGUUUCCUUGGUGCUUGUGUGGUAAAGUAGUACUAGCAGCCCGUUUCAACAGCCAUCACCACGCAUGCAUGGUUCAACACAGUCAACAGUGGAUUGCUAUAAGGCCUUUUGAGGAGAUUGAUUCCCAUGGUUAGAUGGAUACAGGGAUCCAGAGGGAAGAGUGUCCAUUCCACUCUGCCACUAGAUUGCAAUUAGUGAAAAUCCAUUGAUUUAUUAACUUAGAAAUCACAACACACUUUUGUUUUCACAUUUUCAUAUGCGUUUCCUAUUCUGAUAUGCACUGACCAGAACACUGACAUUUUCUUUUUCUUUAGUAUCUUUUCCCCCACAGAACACCAAAUUGAUGGAGAGACAUUGAUGUCAUUGGAACAAAGAAUGGUGGAGUAACUCGUUCCAAUAAUCAAAGAUCGAAUCAAAUUCACAAAUUUAAUGGAGAAUCUAAAAGCUGUAAGACUGUGUAUGACUUACCUGCAUCAUUGAUUCUAUAACAUUGAUCCUAUUCCAAUUAUUAUUGUUAGUUCCCAGCUGCAGCAAACAGCCCAGCAAAAUUACCCAGCAUCUGUCCAGCAAAAUGACUCAGCAAUUGGCCUUCAGCAUGACAUAUCAACUGGCCAGCAACAGGACACAUCAAUCAGCCAAAGAGUCUGGCCAUCUGUGUUUAGACUUCCAGAAUUUCCAGUUGUAUUAAAAGAAAAUCUGAUCUCCGUCACCCUACUGUGCCCUUGAAGUGGAAGUCUCAGAUUGUGCAGGUGUUGGUCGACUUCAUGUGUACCUACACUUGGUGAGUAUAGUUAUGUAGUAUACUGAUCUUAGCUUAAUGUUAAUGAUAUAAAUUCCUCAAUUAUGAAUCAUAAUGUGUGUGUGUGUGUGUGUCACUCUGAGCCCUUCUCCUGUCUCUGUCCUCCAUAUUCUCCUCCAUACUGUUGUCAUAAUCACUGCAGCUGAUAGCAGAGCACAUACUCAACUUUUACAUGAUGAUAAUCGACGCCAUCAAUCAAUGUCAUUUGUAUUACAAACAAAAUUGUUAGUCUAAAUGUAAUGUUGUAUGUUUCUCGUUUGCUUUACGUAUCCUACUAUCCGGCAAUACAUGGAUGUGUGCACAGCGCUCAUUCAAAAGUACCCCUCAUUGAGAGACCAGACAGGGAAGGGAUAUGUAAGAAUUCCUCAGUUGUCAUACUCACAUUAAUUCACACUAAUAAACUGUUGACACCAUUGUGCCUACACAGACCAUAAUGUGCUGGCUUGGAUAUGUUCUUCUCACAUUGUUAAGCCAUCACAUUUCCAGCAGCAUAACAAGACCAUCUCUAGUCUGCUCCUCUGUCCUCAGUCCCAAUAAUCCGUCAUGACAUUUCUCCACUCCAUUUUGAAUUUUUUAAGGAGUGAUCAAUAAUAAAUACAAAAAAUGUCAGCAGCCGCUUGCUCACGUUGCACAAGUACAGGAAAUGCAAAACCAAACAGAUGACACCAAAAAUGAAGACCCGACCAAAAUAGCCAAGAUUGAGACUGGUGAGGAUUCCUUCAGUCAGAAGUUACAUGUUGAAAAGAUGUAGGUGGAGUGCCAAAAAUAGAGACAGAACAUAAGUUCCCUACAAGACAAAAUGAAAAGGACUGAAAAAGAGAGAACUUUUUAUGAAACAACAAGGCACCAAGGACAUCUUAAAACAGUUCCCAGCACUCCAUUUGUCAGCCAUUAUUUUCUCCGAGAUGAGAAGCAAAUUCGGUAUGGAUGUGGACAGAAACGUAAUUUCCGGAUUUGCCACAAUGGCCGACAAAAUCAAUGCAGAAACGGAGAGGAAGGGUAUGGCCAUGGAGUUGCUGAAUCUCUGGCACUUCUUUCACACACGGAGGUGGCUCACCAAGGUAAUUCUUAUCCAGCCUUUUUAUUACACACCCUCCAAGUUAAGGUCUGAAGAUCACGGCAGCCAUUUUGCUCCUCCAUUACCUCUUCAAAGAAUAUCCAAGUGGGCUGUAUGUCACAGACAGGGUAUGUAUUUCCCAGCAGACAAAUAAAUGAAUGCAAAGUACUGUGUAAGGUGUACUGUGCUCAGUUGUUAACUUACUGUUUGAAAUAUGACUUAAGUAACCUUAUUUGUAAAAAUGUUCCCCCUUCUUACAGUGUGUAAAGUUCCUGUCACCUACCAUAAGACUAGAGGGGAAUCCCUUUGCGGAUGAGAGCCACAUCCAACUCUUCCUGGAUGGAGAGGAGCUACUCACUGAAGAGCCGGAGGACAUCUCCAUGGGAUUGAGAGUGGCAAUGGGGGUCCAUUUCCUUUUUAAUAUUGGACUGCCAAGCUGUCCUCAAUUGGGGGAACCUCUGUCCGGGACAAUGUCCUCAGGAUUAUGGAGCGGUGUGUUUUAUAAAAGGUUGUUUUGAAUAUUACAACAUUUAUUAGGAUUAAGUGAAAUAUGCCCCUGACUGCCGUGGUGGAGGAGGACACAAAGUAUAUGAGCAAGUUGCUCUUUUUUGAAGACAUCUCUAAGCUAAAACUGCCACAAACAUCUUCAACUAGUACCAUGGAAAUACUUUUAGCCAGCUGAUUCCAAAGUUUCUUCAGGAAUGUCCUUUCCUAGUUUUCUUUGAAAAUCUCAAAUUGAUGUUGUAAUGCACUGAUUCUCGUCACUGCAGAUCUGACCCAUCACACCACUCUUACUAAUCAUUAA